GCUGGAAUGACGUGCCUCUAACUGGAACUUAGUGUGAGUGAGACAAAAAGCCCCUCCAUCCAUGAGAAUGAGCUGACUGCUGGAAUGACGUGCCUCUAACUGGAACUUAGCCUGAGUGAGAAAAAAAGCCCCUCCAUCCAUGAGAAUGAGCUGACUGCUGGAAUGACGUGCCUCUAACUGGAACUUAGCCUGAUUGAGAAAAAAAGCCCCUCCAUCCAUGAGAAUGAGCUGACUGCUGGAAUGACGUGCCUCUAACUGGAACUUAGCCUGAUUGAGAAAAAAAGCCCCUCCAUCCAUGAGAAUGAGCUGACUGCUGGAAUGACGUGCCUCUAACUGGAACUUAGCCUGAGUGAGACAAAAAGCCCCUCCAUCCAUGAGAAUGAGCUGACUCCUGGAAUGACGUGCCUCUAACUGGAACUUAGCCUGAGUGAGACAAAAAGCCCCUCCAUCCAUGAGAAUGAGCUGACUGCUGCCGUGACAUGUGCCUCUAACUGGAACUUAGCCUGAGUGAGACAAAAAGCCCUCCAACCAUGAGAAUGAGCUGACCACUCCCAUGACGCAAGCUUUAGCAGUCAAAUGAAGCCUACUUGCAAAUACUUGAUUGCCCACAAUGACCUGCCUUCGUUUCAAAUAUAAGAGGGAAGUACCAAUAACUACACACACAGUGCAGUAGGCUCAUACUGUAUAUGGAUGUGUACAUUCUAACAUGCCUUGUUAAGUAAUUUGUUUGGCGGCAGAUGCAGUCACAUGUAGAUGCAGUUGUUUGGACCGAACAGGUACAACCUGUUAGUUUAGUUAGUACUUGUUAGUUUGAGUGACUGAGCCUGA